ensembl:lncRNA
UCUUAAUCAAAACGAUCCUCCCUAAUGUUCUCCUAUUUAAAGGUUAUUUGGGGAACAGAAUAAAAUUUGGUUUAUUUAACAAAAGCAUCGCUCCCCGCCCCCACCCCCGCCCCCAACAUCUAGUAACAUCUUCGGAGUUACUUUAACCAGUGUUCCCAGCAUCAACCCUUGUCACCACAUCACACGGGGAGCCUAACAAAACUAGCCGGCCAGGACUCUACUCCAGGCCCUCGUCCUCAGAAUGAGGACGCUGUAGUCUGGCAUCUGAAUUGUUAAAAGUUCCCAGGUGAUUUUGAUGUGCCCUUUAAGGGUCCAAAAAAAAAAAUCCCCCCGCCUCCAAAACCCAGUAGCUAGUCACUGCUUUCUGAAGCCUUUAAUCCGGGUAGGGAAGAAACGCUUUAACCACUGGCCAGUUUAGACAGAGGAAAAGCUGCAGGAGGUGCUGAGCUUAGGGAAAAAGCAAUAAGACUAUAAGUGGGAGAGCUCUUCCGAAAAGGAGCCACCAUUACUGACCAAGAAACUUUGGCAGAAACAUCCAGAAUUGUACUAAAAUUUGCUGCUGAAAGUCACCAGAGUCUUCAAUCAGCUGUGGUCUUUGAGAAACGCAACAAAGAAAACUUCAGUUUUCCCAAGUUCACGGAGUUUCUGUUCCAGCUCUGAACCCGCAGUGACUGAGGGAGAGACUGAAGUCAGAGCCCCUCCCUGGUGCCCCACGUGUGGGCAGAAGCUGGUGAAACUCAGUGUCUCAGAAUCGUAGCAUCAAACUAAAAGGGACAUAAGAUCGUCUAGAGCGUUUGCCUCCCUUACAUGUGAUGAAGCCAGAGGUGUCACGUGCCUUGUCCUUCGCUGUCUUUCAUUUCUUCCGUGGCUGAGAACCACCUGUUCCUUCCACAUCCUAGAUACGUCCUCCUGCCAGGGAAGUGAGAACACUGGAGCGCCUUUCCUUUCUGCUCAGCAGAGAGGUGUUAGAAAGAAGUACCUCUUUGAGCCCCAAAGUGAGAAGAAACUAUAGAUUAGAAGCAAAGUGAGAAAUUCAUAUCUUAGACUUAAUUAAAACCAUAUAUGUGAAAAGAUGUCUUAAGGAGAAAAUGCCUGUAGAAUGAACCUCAGGAAAUGUAUUUUAUAUCAGGUUUGUCUAAAUUGUAUUAAAAUGUGAGAAUCAACGUGAUAAAAGUAGAAAAGCUGAAGUGGAACAACUUCACAGGAAAGGUGACCUUGAGGUUACAGUUCUGAUUGUUAAAUUAGGAUCUUUUCCCACUGAAUGAUUUCUUCUAGGGCUGAUAUGUUUUGAUUUUUUUUUGACUUGUUUGCUUUUUAUAAAUGAUGAUGGUGAUGGAUAUAGGUAGAAAGAUGAUAGAAAUCUGAGAACUUCCAUGUCGAGGAAUAUGCAAUAAGAAAAUAAUAAAAUAUAUAUGCAAAAAAUAUGUAUAAAAUUGAAUCUAUGCCAUUACAUUACAUAUAACCUGGUUAGACGGUAAUGUAUUAAAUCAAUUAAAAUAUUUGUAUGCAAUAAAAUAGCAUGCAAAUGUUUAAAGUAUAUUGCAUUGAAACAUUUUGAUAUGGAAAAUGUACCUGGCAUGAUUUAAAUGAGAGAAAUAAAACUGUUUAUAUAAUUUAAUUAUAUUUUUAAAAACAUACAUACAGUGAAUAAUGGAAAACUAUAUGUACAAGUUAUUAGCAAUGAUCACUUUUGGCCAUAGGUUUCACAAAUGUAUUAUUUUAUGGAAUGUCAUGUUUUACUAAGACUUAGGAAAACUUGAUGUCAGGAUAAAUGCUACUUUGUUCACAGAAUGAAUCAGACCAUUGAAAGUUUAAUUUGUAAUUAUAAAAUUUCUAAGAGCCUAGCAUUAUCUAAAUACAAAGAAAACCAAAAAGUGUAAAUAAUUUUAAUUCUAAAUAUACUUUUACCUAAAAGGUAAACUUUCAUAUAAUAUUUAUAUCAUUUUCUUCAAUAGUAGUGUUAAAUUAGUGAUGUUCUCCAAAAGAAGUCAGUAAACAUGUGUUAGGAUUAGACAAGUGAAGCUGAGAAUUCAUUAUUCAGUUAACAACUUAGGUACUCUCCCAAAUUGUAUACGGUUUCUGUUGAAUGAGAAUAUUAGAAAUUUGGCAACAAUCCUGAUAAAUAUAUUAAUAACUUAAUAUCCAAUAAAUCCAGAUACUGAUUUAAAAACAUGAUUCUUCAAUAAGAAACCAA